GACGAACGCUGGCGGCGUGCUUAACACAUGCAAGUCGAGCGGUAAGGCCCUUUCGGGGGUACACGAGCGGCGAACGGGUGAGUAACACGUGGGUGACCUGCCCUCAGCUCUGGGAUAAGCCUGGGAAACCGGGUCUAAUACUGGAUAUGACUCCAUGACGCAUGUUGUGGGGUGGAAAGCCUUGUGCGGCUGAGGAUGGGCCCGCGGCCUAUCAGCUUGUUGGUGGGGGAUGGCCUACCAAGGCGACGACGGGUAGCCGGCCUGAGAGGGCGACCGGCCACACUGGGA
rnacentral:rRNA from 1 species